UACGAAGGGGGCGAGCGUUGUUCGGAUUUACUGGGCGUAAAGGGCGCGCAGGCGGCUAUCCAAGUCAGGCGUGAAAGCCCCGGGCUUAACCUGGGAGGUGCGUCUGGGACUGGGUGGCUAGAGUUCGGGAGAGGAGAGUGGAAUUCCCAGUGUAGAGGUGAAAGUUCGUAGAUAUUGGGAAGAACACCGGUGGCGAAGGCGGCUCUCUGGACCGAGACUGACGCUGAGGCGCGAAAGCGUGGGGAGCAAACAGG
rnacentral:rRNA from 1 species